ACUUUCCGCCACUGUGUUACGAAACUUAAUUAAAUUAGGGCUCACUUACGCUUUUCAUUCAAUUCACUUCACGCCGUAGCCGUCGGUCCCCUCUCCAGCUCCGUUACCAUCGCCUGCUCGGCCAUCCGGCUACCCUUCCUUCCGCACCUCCUCUUUCGCGGAGGACGCUCACCGCUGUUCGCUCCGCUAAGUUCAACACGGCUACUCCUCCACCAUUGCAUAUCGAAAGCUUGCUUGGAACAAUCAUCCAGAUGUGAACAAGUCAUGAUGCACCAUUGGUUUUUAUUGGCUUCUAGCCUUACACUACUCUCUUUCUCUUUGUAUAUUUAUUAUUUAUAAGUUGCUUUGGUGUUCAUGUUCAAAUUAGCAUUUCUUUUACUUGUUCGUAUUUUCUGGUACCUCAGGUUAAUUCGAUUUCUGUCCACCGAUUAAGUGUGGGUAAUGGUUUUUGAGCAGCGUAAAAGCAAUCACAAAUCCAUUAAUGACUAUGAACCUCAGGUAAGGGGGAAAGUCUUGACUUGAUUCGAUAUAAUGAUCAAAACAUCGAAGGGCCCUUCGCUUUUUCCUAAUGGUCCAACCAAAGGGGAGUUCGGAGAGAAGUUGCUGUCAGUAACGGGCUCCUUCCACAAAGCUGUGACUACUUCAUUAAAAGAAAACCGAAUAGAUGAAGCUGGUGCUGCUUUUGAUGAGAUUGACAGUGCUCUAUCGAACUUCGAUGAUGGGCUAUUUUUUCUUGGCCUGCUCAGUUUGGUGGAUAUUGCUUAUGUUCCCUUCGUUGAAAGAUAUCAACCCUUCAAUCUAUGCAUCUUUUGUUUGGGGGUGGAGUAGAGAUCUCUUCAAUCCUAGACUGAUUGCCCUACCUGAUUAAUCAAUAGUUUCAAAUAGAACACCCAUCUCAUUUUGGGCAUUGCCAAUAAAAAUGCUUUAUAGAAAGAGAGUUAUUUUCCCUCCAACAACUCAUGACUAAUUGAUUUUUUCCAAUUCCAUUACCUUCAUGGUUUAUAAAAUUUUAAUUACACAUUACACAGUAAGAUCAGUGUCGAGUUUGCUAGUAUAGCAUUGGAACAAUCACAGUAUUAAAACUACCCCAUGUGAUAUGAAAGUAUUUGUUAGUGCAAGAUUAAUAGGAAAUUUCCAGAAUUAAGGUAUUAGGUAUUCAAAAACCAUAUUUAUGUAGAUGUAUGCGAAUCUAUAAAAUAAAUUGGUGAAAUGCCAGAAAGCAUUACUUCAGUGUGUCUUGGAACCUUAUGAGUUUCUCAAAAGUAAGGAGAUUCAAAAACUUAUUUUUCAAUCAAAUAGAUUCUAGUUUGACAAAAAUAUAUUUUUUGGCAAUUUUUAAUUAGUAUAUUUUCCUCAAUAAUCUCUAUAACAGAUGUACCAACUUAUUUUGUGAGUACUUCAAUCAAUAUAAGUAUUUUGUGAAUACACCUUACUCCAAACUAAUGUGAAAUGUCUUCUUGGAUGGCCUGUUGGAGGCUACCCUAGUCCUCAGGUGAUGAUCUUUACCAUUGAUAUAAUGCUGCUGAAUUAGCAUGGUUGAUGUUUCUGUGAACAAUCUAGGGGCCUUACUACUGCGUUGCUGGAGCAGAUAAGUCGUUUGGACGCGACCUAUCCGAUGCUCAUUUAUUUAUAUGGGAGCUAGCUAAUCUAUUCUUGAUCGUUUGAUGGUUCAUAGUGACUGGAACGAGAGCAGGAUGUCACACCAAUUACAGCACCCUGAGCAUGAGAGAGUAAUGUGGUUUCGAAGUGAUCAAGAAGGCGAUUUUGAACCUCUCCCUUUGCCACAAGGAUCACAUCAAUGCAUACGAAUAAGGGAACGAGCAAAGGCUGACAGGAAAGCAUGAGACUACCAACAUCGACACCUUCUCAUGGGAGGUGGCUCAAAGAUGAACAAAUAAUUUUGAUCCAUGAUUUGGAAAGGAAAGAGACGAAGUUCAUGAGACUAGGAAGGAACACGAUUGUAGAUGAUAAAUUUGCCACAAACGAUCCCACCACUAUUUUGCAGAUUGAGAAGCUACAUUCUCAGCUAUUUUGUUAUUAACUAAGUUUUAGAAUUUGGACUGAUGUUCAAUAUUAUUAAACGCUGAUGUUUUGAGUAAUAUAUGGGGGGUGUUAUAUUGCUAA